rnacentral:lncRNA from 1 species
AGGAGAAAUAUGUCCUGGUCAUAUCCUGCCUGGACUUUGAACAGAGAGAGAUCUAGAAUGGUGAUGGAGGUUUAGGAAUCAUUUGCGUACUGAUGGUUUUUAAAGCCUUCGGAGAGAGGGAGCUCACCCGAGGAAGGCACAGAAGGGUGCUAUAGAGAAGGGAGGAGUAGCAGAAUGCACUGGGGGCAUUCGCAGACUCGGCGUUCGUUAUGCUGCCCUGCCUCUCAAUGGAGAAGGAAGCACACGUGCUUUGAAAAAGCUCCCAGGGCCUGCUUUUGUAUGCCUUCUUCUCCUGAGAGGGAUGUGGGCAUUGCUACUGUUUCAAAAGUUCUCCAGGAGCUUCUGAGGUGCACCCAGGAUUAAGAACCGCUCAAGGAAAGUGAAAACAGAAGAAUGAGCAUUCCAUUUAGGGGAAGCUAUAGUCAAAGGAAAGAGGCCAGACCUGAUAAUGUUAUCUGCAGAUGACAGGAACAAAUAUACAGUAUUAGCAACGGUCACAAAGUUUUUCCAGACAUCCAUGCAUGGGGUUCUUCCACUGCUAGUAUACCCUCGGUCAUGUAGGAAUUCAAUAGCCACAUUUUUUUCUAGAAAUACACGUGUUUCUAGUACUUCACAUUGAUUUGGUGACUGAAUCUGACCAUAUUUCAGAAACUUUCAAACAUGCUCUCCUGUGUUUCUAUAGCUCUCUUUUUCCCUAGCUUGCUCUUCUCUCUUUUCUUUCCUUGACGUUGCACCUCAUCCUUCUAAAUUUUGGCAUCCUUUAGAAAAGUUCCUGUCUCCAGCUUAUUCUUCCUCCCUGGGUUCCUGGGUGUUUACUUUAGCUUUAGCUGUUUAUGUUUGUUCUCAAGUGCAUCUUUCAAGAUGUGCAGUCUAGUCCAUGUCCAAUUAGAUCCUGAUGGCAAAUCAAAUUUAAGUGUGAACUGUGGAAUUUUCCUUGGCCUUUUAAAACCUCUCCUAACAGCCAUCUCUCUCAUCAUCUCUUUUUACCUUUUACCUUUUUAACUGAUCAGUUAGGAGAAUGAAAAUGCCAAGCCUUACUGCGUCCUCCGAAGCCUCUCUGCACUUCAGUUGCUCUGUGAAAUGGAGACAUAGCAGUAUCUUCCUCUGGGGGCAAUUAAGAGGCUUAUAGAAGGCAGUAGACAUAAAUUACCACAUUUUGGCAUUGACCAGUUAGUGAGCACUCAGUAAAUAUUAGUUGUCAUUACUUCCUAAUGACACCUCCUUUUUCCCCCAACGUUUAUAAGCUUUUCUAAAUGAAUUAACCAAAAUAUAAUUAAUGGGAGCAAUACCCACAAGUACACAGUGGCACAUACACACUAGCACAUAGGCACACACAUGUAUCCUGAUUUGGGUGGUGGCUACACAGGCACAUACAUGUUCCCAAGCUUAUCGAGCUCCGUACCUACGAUGUAGGCGUUUUCUAGAUGUGAGCCAUGCCUCAGUCUGCUACUUGUGGAAAAAAAUGUAAUGAGGAGCAGAGUAGUAGAGCAGUUAAAAGUGUGGGUUCUGGAACUAGAUUUAGGUUUACAUCCUGGCUCUAGUACCAACUAGCUGUGUGAUGUGAGGCACGAGAAGGCCUGUGCUUUUGUUUCCUCAUUAGUUGGAUCUGGAUAAAAGUACCUAUCUCAUAGGGUUGCUAUGAUGACUGCAGGAAGUAAUCUAAAAUAGUGCUUGGCGUAUCCUAAAUAGCAUAUAAAUAUUGUUUUUAAAUAUAGUUUCCUAAAAUAACAGCAUUGCGUGUAUCUAUGAUCUAUAUCCUUUUCUUUGAAUUGCCCCUAUCUUUACUUGGGUAGUGUCUUUUUUUUAAUGCAGCGAAUAAGCCUUUAUACGUUUUGCUACCUCUUUGUAUAUCCAACGUUUAGCAUGGCACUACAUUUACCAAGAGCAAAAUCAACAUUCAUUGACUAACUAAAUGUUGACCCAGAAGGUCAUGUCGGAUCAAAAUAUGACAAUUUUUAUUGGAAAAACUGAUUAAAUUGAGGAUUUCUAACGAGUAGUGACAUUGUAUAUGACUGAUUUUAACCAAAUUUCCCCAAAGCAUAAUUAUUCCUUUAGCAGCAAAUUUAAAAAUGGUAUGAAAAUAAGUUUGUGAGAAGUAAACAGAUUUUAUUUUAACCUCAACUAUUCUACUCAACCUUUCAGAUGCCAGAAAAUUAUAGUAAUAAUAAAUUGGAAUAACGUCAGAUGAUGGAAAAUUCAAACCCACAUGGACAGUGGUCUCUUGUAAAUAGAGUGGCUGUGGAUCUGGAGCUUUAAACAUUUAAAUCUGAAAGGCAAAUGUCCGAGUGUCUAGGGACUCAUAGUGGCCUUUUUCAUUAUGCGUUCGAAUUGUUUAAACCACAUUUUAAGGUGGAGUGUAAAACCUGUUUGAUCUAACAGUCAUUUGCAUGAAUUAGGAGAAUGUCAUUGUGCCUUAGGAGAGAAUUACAGACUAUAUUUUUUCAAUUUUAGCUGAUGGUAAUCAUAUUAUUAAUGUGACAUUGUCUCUUCUCUCCGUGAUACAGUAAAAGGAACAAGAUGCCACUUGAUUCCUAAUUCUCGGUUUGGGAACUGAUAAUUACCACUUAUGGCAUACCAGUUAUUUUUCAGUUCCUGUCCUUGGUGGAUUUCACAGGUUUUAUUAAACCGUGGCAGUAUGAUUAUUAUCCCUGUGUAGACAUAAGAACACUAACAAUAUAGCUCUCAAUUUAAAGCUCGAACAUCCUUCACUGGGUGUGUGAACAUUUUCCUCUUUAAUGUGAUGUUUCCAACAUUUAGAAAAUUGACGUACAGAACCAGAAUAAUUUAAAAACUGUGAAAUAACUAUAUAGAAAGUGAUAGGAUGAUAUGUAAUAAAAUAAAGGCCAUUAUAGAAGUGAAAAAAUACAUUUUACUGGUUGCAAUAAAUCUGAUUCUGAAAAAAAAAAGAAAAUGUUUAUGAUGUAUAUGGGGAGAGGGAGAGAGUUAUCCUCUUACAAAGUAAAUUUGAAACAGUACGUUAAAUAGUUUGAUUUGAGCAACAGAACAACAAUGAAGUUAGGACUCAUGGCUUCAGACAGGUGUAUUUCCAGUUAAGGGGAGUAUUUCACCCCUGGUAGUGUCCUGAUAAAGCCCAUUCUGUGGUUCUGACCACAUUUGGAGUACUGAAUCCAUUUCUAGGGGCCAUGAACCCAACAGGCACAGCCACACAGGAUCUGAGCCUUGUCUUCGACCUGCUCUUCAGCUCACGGCAACACUGGAUCCUCGACCUACUGAGCUAGGCCAGGGAUCGAACCCGCAUCUUCAUGGAUGCUAACUGGGUUUGUGAGACAUAAGGGGAACUCCUGGUUUUAAUGGAAACUAAUAUUUAAAAUAUUCAAAUAUCUUAUGGACAGUGAAAAGUCCUACCAGGCUUUUUUCAAAGAUAAGAACUUAAAAGAGUGCAGUAGUUCUAACAUAGGUCAUGAGAAUAUCUCUGGAUACGACAUAGCUCCAUCUUUUUGUAUAAAACUUGCCUUUCAAGGGGUGAACAAUACUCUCUCUAUAUCUUAUUUUGGUCAGUGAGAUAGGAAAUACAUAUGACAAGGAACUUAUUUUAUUUUUAAAAAUUAACACUUGGGACUAAGGUGUCUUUUGGUUCCAAACUAGUGUUGCACUAAUUUGUGCUGAUUUUAAUAUCGUUAGACUUUGUCAAAUGAAUGGGUAGCUAAAACCAUCCCUUUGUUAGUGGUCAGUGUUACAUCGUCCGUUCUGCACGCAGCUGAGGCUGUCUCUCGUCCUCUCAUUAUCCCAGUAAGAGUUUCGACCCCUUAGCCAGGUAGUAAUCACUGGUUCUUGAGAAAGCUGGGAACGUUUGAGUCAGUCAGACGAGCGAGAGAAACAAAGACAGUGAUAAAGGGAGCAACGAGCAUUUAGUGGAACAAAUUGCCUGUGAGAAGCCUGGGGAUUGGCCCAGGAGCCUUGGAAAGCGGAGCUCGGUGACAGGACGCCUGCAGGAGAAGCCAGCCACAUCUUCAGGUGGGGAGGAAGGGGCUUGCAAGAUGUCAUGGUCUUCUCUAUAAAUUCAGAAACAGGUCCUCUGCUCGGUCAGUACACCUUGAAUGAGUUGAGGGAUUUAGUGAGGGAAGAAAAACUGAGUUUUAAUGGGCACGGCAAAAUUCAGCGUUAGGCAUGGAGACGAAUGCGGGAAGGAGUCACUGAGGAGCAACGGUGAGGUCUUGGCGUGUUAUGACGCGAUCAGGAUGGCUCUGCAAGCUUUCCAGUGGCCCCUGACAGAGAAGGACAAAGGGAAAUACAAUUCCACACUAAGUGAGACGACAGCGGACUCUCAAGUGGGGGGGAGACCAAGGAAUUAUGUGGGGAAGGUCAGAUUCGGAAGGGGUCAGGUAGGUCUGAUUCGGAAAUCUUAGACCAGAAACCCAUACGCUCCAUAAAGUUAGCAAAAUACUAUGGGCAAAAUAUGGGACCUUAUUCUAGGAGCUGCUAGUAAAAGGUGGUAACCUGCUGCCCUAGUCUCUGAUAAUAGCAGUCGAAAGAAAAACUGUCAGGUCAGGCCAGUAGAGCUUCCACCAUUACUCUGUUAGUGGAGGGCUCUCUGUGUUGUAUAUUCUGCCUGUUUGGGGAACGGGCAAACAUUUUUUUAGAGAUAGAGGGUAUAUGCUUUCCACUUUGUGGGCGUAUUUUCUAUCACAGCUGCUAAAAUCUACCAUCAUAGCAAAAAAACAGGUUUCGAAAAUCUGAAAAUGUGUUUAUGUGAAAACUACAGGUGGUUGCCCAGAAACUCAACCGUGAAAUCCCUGUUAGAAAUCAACAUGAAGAAGUACCAGUAUAGGAGUUCCCUUGUGGUGCCGUGGGUUAAGGAUCCAGCCUUGUCAGUGCUGUGGCACAGGUUCAAUCCCUGGCCUAGGAA